UACGAAGGGGGCUAGCGUUGUUCGGAAUUACUGGGCGUAAAGCGCACGUAGGCGGCUUUGUAAGUUAGAGGUGAAAGCCUGGGGCUCAACUCCAGAACUGCCUUUAAAACUGCAUCGCUUGAAUCCAGGAGAGGUGAGUGGAAUUCCGAGUGUAGAGGUGAAAUUCGUAGAUAUUCGGAAGAACACCAGUGGCGAAGGCGGCUCACUGGACUGGUAUUGACGCUGAGGUGCGAAAGCGUGGGGAGCAAACAGG
rnacentral:rRNA from 1 species